AGUGAGCGCUGGCGGUAGGCCUAACACAUGCAAGUCGAACGGCAGCACAGUAAGAGCUUGCUCUUACGGGUGGCGAGUGGCGGACGGGUGAGGAAUACAUCGGAAUCUACUUUUUCGUGGGGGAUAACGUAGGGAAACUUACGCUAAUACCGCAUACGACCUACGGGUGAAAGCAGGGGAUCUUCGGACCUUGCGCGAUUGAAUGAGCCGAUGUCGGAUUAGCUAGUUGGCGGGGUAAAGGCCCACCAAGGCGACGAUCCGUAGCUGGUCUGAGAGGAUGAUCAGCCACACUGGAACUGAGGCACGGUCCAGACUCCUACGGGAGGCAGCAGUGGGGAAUAUUGGACAAUGGGCGCAAGCCUGAUCCAGCCAUACCGCGUGGGUGAAGAAGGCCUUCGGGUUGUAAAGCCCUUUUGUUGGGAAAGAAAAGCAGCAGGUUAAUACCCCGCUGUUCUGACGGUACCCAAAGAAUAAGCACCGGCUAACUUCGUG
rnacentral:rRNA from 1 species